rfam:Rattus norvegicus chromosome 3, whole genome shotgun sequence.
GGGGAUUUAGCUCAAUGGUAGAGCGCUUGCCUAGCAAGCACAAGGCCCUGGGUUCGGUCCUCAGCUCCG